rnacentral:rRNA from 1 species
AGCGAACGCUGGCGGCAGGCUUAACACAUGCAAGUCGAGCGCCCCGCAAGGGGGGCGGCAGACGGGAGAGUAACACGUGGGAACAUACCUUUUGGUUCGGAACAACUGAGGGAAACUUCAGCUAAUACCGGAUAAGCCCUUACGGGGAAAGAUUUAUCGCCGAAAGAUUGGCCCGCGUCUGAUUAGCUAGUUGGUGAGGUAACGGCUCACCAAGGCGACGAUCAGUAGCUGGUCUGAGAGGAUGAUCAGCCUCACUGGGACUGAGACACGGCCCAGACUCCUACGGGAGGCAGCAGUGGGGAAUAUUGGACAAUGGGGGCAACCCUGAUCCAGCCAUGCCGCGUGAGUGAUGAAGGCCUUAGGGUUGUAAAGCUCUUUUGCCCGGGAAGAUAAUGACGGUACCGGGAGAAUAAGCCCCGGCUAACUUCGUG